GACGAACGCUGGCGGCGUGCCUAAUACAUGCAAGUCGAGCGAGCGGAACCAACAGAUUUACUUCGGUAAUGACGUUGGGAAAGCGAGCGGCGGAUGGGUGAGUAACACGUGGGGAACCUGCCCCUAAGUCUGGGAUACCAUUUGGAAACAGGUGCUAAUACCGGAUAAUAAAGCAGAUCGCAUGAUCAGCUUUUGAAAGGCGGCGUAAGCUGUCGCUAAGGGAUGGCCCCGCGGUGCAUUAGCUAGUUGGUGAGGUAACGGCUCACCAAGGCGACGAUGCAUAGCCGACCUGAGAGGGUGGUCGGCCACAUUGGGACUGAGACACGGCCCAA
rnacentral:rRNA from 1 species